rnacentral:rRNA from 1 species
AGUGAACGCUGGCGGUAGGCCUAACACAUGCAAGUCGAACGGCAGCACAGUAAGAGCUUGCUCUUACGGGUGGCGAGUGGCGGACGGGUGAGGAAUACAUCGGAAUCUACUUUUUCGCGGGGGAUAACGUAGGGAAACUUACGCUAAUACCGCAUACGACCUACGGGUGAAAGCAGGGGAUCUUCGGACCUUGCGCGAUUGAAUGAGCCGAUGUCGGAUUAGCUAGUUGGCGGGGUAAGGGCCCACCAAGGCGACGAUCCGUAGCUGGUCUGAGAGGAUGAUCAGCCACACUGGAACUGAGACACGGUCCAGACUCCUACGGGAGGCAGCAGUGGGGAAUAUUGGACAAUGGGCGCAAGCCUGAUCCAGCCAUACCGCGUGGGUGAAGAAGGCCUUCGGGUUGUAAAGCCCUUUUGUUGGGAAAGAAAAGCAGCAGGUUAAUACCCCGCUGUUCUGACGGUACCCAAAGAAUAAGCACCGGCUAACUUCGUG